CGUGGGGAACCUGCCCCAUAGUCUGGGAUACCACUUGGAAACAGGUGCUAAUACCGGAUAAGAAAGCAGAUCGCAUGAUCAGCUUUUAAAAGGCGGCGUAAGCUGUCGCUAUGGGAUGGCCCCGCGGUGCAUUAGCUAGUUGGUAAGGUAAAGGCUUACCAAGGCGAUGAUGCAUAGCCGAGUUGAGAGACUGAUCGGCCACAUUGGGACUGAGACACGGCCCAAACUCCUACGGGAGGCAGCAGCU
rnacentral:rRNA from 1 species